rnacentral:rRNA from 1 species
CCUACGGGAGGCAGCAGUGGGGAAUAUUGGGCAAUGGGCGCAAGCCUGACCCAGCAACGCCGCGUGAAGGAAGAAGGCUUUCGGGUUGUAAACUUCUUUUCUCAGGGACGAAGCAAGUGACGGUACCUGAGGAAUAAGCCACGGCUAACUACGUGCCAGCAGCCGCGGUAAUACGUAGGUGGCAAGCGUUAUCCGGAUUUACUGGGUGUAAAGGGCGUGUAGGCGGGAAAGCAAGUCAGAUGUGAAAACCAUGGGCUCAACCUGUGGCCUGCAUUUGAAACUGUUUUUCUUGAGUACUGGGGAGGCAGACGGAAUUCCUAGUGUAGCGGUGAAAUGCGUAGAUAUUAGGAGGAACACCAGUGGCGAGGGCGGUCUGCUGGACAGCAACUGACGCUGAGGCGCGAAAGCGUGGGGAGCAAACAGGAUUAGAUACCCCAGUAGUC